CAUUCCCUGCGGUGUUCGAAGAUGGCCUGGGUAUUUUCUUGAGCCUAUUCAUCGCCCUGGGGGCAUGACCGUGGAGCCGUUGCGCAUGUCCGCCUUGAGCGGGAAGCCUGAAGCGAAGCCGACUGUCCCCACUUGAACCUACCGGUUCAAGAACAAAGGCCUUGGCGGCACAGGCGGGGAAUGU
rnacentral:other from 1 species